rnacentral:lncRNA from 1 species
UACGUCUGGAGAGCAAUCAUCUCAGUGGACCACUUCCUGAGUUUAAGUCCAUUGGGAACUUGAAUUCACUUCUGCUGCUGAAUUUAUCUCACAACAACCUCACUGGACAUAUUCCUGUUGAAAUGAAGAAAAUGAGCACGCUUGAAGUUUUGGACCUUUCAUUUAACCAGCUUACUGGGAAAAUUCCAGAGGAAUUGACAAGUCUAACAUUUCUUGCAGUUUUAAAUCUGUCGCACAACCAUCUUGUUGGACCUAUUCCUCAUAGUAAUCAGUUCAAUACGUUUCCAGAUGAUUCCUAUUUUGGAAACAGUGAUUUGUGUGGAUUUCCAUUGUCAAAUGAAUGUGGGCAUCAUAAGAGUGCAUCAGUACCAGAAUUAUUGGUUGAACAAGAAGAAGAUGAGCCCAGUUUUCUUACUGAAAUGACAUGGAAAUCUGUCUUAAUUGGGUAUGGUUGUGGCUUGAUAUUUGGAUUUACCGUCCUGUAUCUCAUAUACUGUUUUGAAAGGCCAAGAUGGUUCGUAGACUUUUUUGCAACUAUCACUAAUGAACUGACAUACAGAACAAAGAGGAGAGGUCAAAGACGUAGGAACUUUCACAGAAGAAGACACUAAAAUCUAUGAGGUAAUAUUUUAUAGUCAGGUUACUGUUUCUAAUUCAUUCUUCUUCUUGUUUACACAAUAUUCGAAGGCCC